rnacentral:rRNA from 1 species
GACGAACGCUGGCGGCGUGCUUAACACAUGCAAGUCGAACGGGAAGGCCCUGCUUGCAGGGUACUCGAGUGGCGAACGGGUGAGUAACACGUGGGUGAUCUGCCCUGCACUUCGGGAUAAGCUUGGGAAACUGGGUCUAAUACCGGAUAGGAGCCAUCUUUAGUGUGGUGGUUGGAAAGUUUUUUCGGUGUAGGAUGAGCUCGCGGCCUAUCAGCUUGUUGGUGGGGUAAUGGCCUACCAAGGCGGCGACGGGUAGCCGGCCUGAGAGGGUGUACGGCCACAUUGGGACUGAGAUACGGCCCAGACUCCUACGGGAGGCAGCAGUGGGGAAUAUUGCACAAUGGGCGCAAGCCUGAUGCAGCGACGCCGCGUGGGGGAUGAAGGCCUUCGGGUUGUAAACUCCUUUCGCUAGGGACGAAGCUUUUUUGUGACGGUACCUAGAUAAGAAGCACCGGCUAACUACGUG